rnacentral:rRNA from 1 species
GACAGAGGCCUCGAGCGUUAGGCGGAAUCACUGGGCUUAAAGCGUGUGUAGGCGGACUUCUAAGUGCCUUGUGAAAUCCCACGGCUCACCCGUGGAACUGCUGGGCAUACUGGGAGUCUUGAGCCACCUAGGGGCGAGCGGAACAAAUGGUGGAGCGGUGAAAUGCGUAGAUAUCAUUUGGAACGCCAACGGAGAAAUCAGCUCGCUGGGGGUGUGCUGACGCUGAGACACGAAAGCCAGGGGAGCGAACGGG